rnacentral:rRNA from 1 species
GAUGAACGCUGGCGGCGUGCCUAAUACAUGCAAGUCGAGCGAACGGACGAGAAGCUUGCUUCUCUGAUGUUAGCGGCGGACGGGUGAGUAACACGUGGAUAACCUACCUAUAAGACUGGGAUAACUUCGGGAAACCGGAGCUAAUACCGGAUAAUAUUUUGAACCGCAUGGUUCAAAAGUGAAAGACGGUCUUGCUGUCACUUAUAGAUGGAUCCGCGCUGCAUUAGCUAGUUGGUAAGGUAACGGCUUACCAAGGCAACGAUGCAUAGCCGACCUGAGAGGGUGAUCGGCCACACUGGAACUGAGACACGGUCCAGACUCCUACGGGAGGCAGCAGUAGGGAAUCUUCCGCAAUGGGCGAAAGCCUGACGGAGCAACGCCGCGUGAGUGAUGAAGGUCUUCGGAUCGUAAAACUCUGUUAUUAGGGAAGAACAUAUGUGUAAGUAACUGUGCACAUCUUGACGGUACCUAAUCAGAAAGCCACGGCUAACUACGUGCCAGCAGCCGCGGUAAUACGUAGGUGGCAAGCGUUAUCCGGAAUUAUUGGGCGUAAAGCGCGCGUAGGCGGUUUUUUAGUCUGAUGUGAAAGCCCACGGCUCACCCGUGGAGGGUCAUUGGAAACUGGAAAACUUGAGUGCAGAAGAGGAAAGUGGAAUUCCAUGUGUAGCGGUGAAAUGCGCAGAGAUAUGGAGGAACACCAGUGGCGAAGGCGACUUUCUGGUCUGUAACUGACGCUGAUGUGCGAAAGCGUGGGGAUCAAACAGGAUUAGAUACCCUGGUAGUCCACGCCGUAAACGAUGAGUGCUAAGUGUUAGGGGGUUUCCGCCCCUUAGUGCUGCAGCUAACGCAUUAAGCACUCCGCCUGGGGAGUACGACCGCAAGGUUGAAACUCAAAGGAAUUGACGGGGACCCGCACAAGCGGUGGAGCAUGUGGUUUAAUUCGAAGCAACGCGAAGAACCUUACCAAAUCUUGACAUCCUUUGACAACUCUAGAGAUAGAGCUUUCCCCUUCGGGGGGCAAAGUGACAGGUGGUGCAUGGUUGUCGUCAGCUCGUGUCGUGAGAUGUUGGGUUAAGUCCCGCAACGAGCGCAACCCUUAAGCUUAGUUGCCAUCAUUAAGUUGGGCACUCUAAGUUGACUGCCGGUGACAAACCGGAGGAAGGUGGGGAUGACGUCAAAUCAUCAUGCCCCUUAUGAUUUGGGCUACACACGUGCUACAAUGGACAAUACAAAGGGCAGCGAAACCGUGAGGUCAAGCAAAUCCCAUAAAGUUGUUCUCAGUUCGGAUUGUAGUCUGCAACUCGACUACAUGAAGCUGGAAUCGCUAGUAAUCGUAGAUCAGCAUGCUACGGUGAAUACGUUCCCGGGUCU